rnacentral:lncRNA from 1 species
UAUAUAUAUAUAUAAAGAGAUCCGGCUGGGAUACUAUUGAUAGCAUAAAACAUUUGGUGCUAUCAAGUUUUCUAUUGUUAGAUUUACCUCUUUUAUCAUUUUCAACCGUUAGAUUAUACUAUUCAACCAAACACUCACUUAACCAUAGGGAGCCCACAUCAUCCUAACCGCACAUCUUUUAAUUUAAUGGUAGAAAACUUAAUAGCCCAAGUCAUUGGCGCGAUUUAUAGUAUUCCAGCAUAGUUCUAUAUAUAUAUGAAAACUUAAUAGCCCAAGUCAUUGGUGCGAUUUAUAGUAUUCCAGCAUAGUUCUAUAUAUAUAUAUAUAUAUAUAUAUAUAUAUAUAGAGCAGGGCUGCUGUGCUCUCAGGAGCACGGAGGUCUCCGUGCUCCUGAGCCGUUUUCGAUGAUGGAAUUUUCGAAUCGACGAUCGGCUCCGUUAGACUUGAUCUAGCGCAUUUGAAGUUUCUAGAAAAUAAUUUUUGCGAUUUUUCGAUAUCAUUUACCUAGCAAUCGAAGGAUUCAAAACUCAAAUCAAAUUUUAACGGCUGAAAAUAAAAAUCCAUAAAAAGUGGUGAUAUAGCACUAAAUUUUCGAUCAGAAAUAUAGAUCUUGUUGUAGCUAGUAUAAAGAAUUUUCUAUCAAAAUUUCAUCUGAUUUGAAUACUUCUACACCGUUAAACUUGAAAACGGCAGAUAUCAACCAUUAAAAAUUAUAGAUUUUGAAUCCUUUCGAUCACUAGGUAAAUGAUAACGAAAAAUCGCAAAAAUUAUUUUCUAGAAACUUCAAAUGCGCUAGAUCAAGUCUAACGGAGCCGAUCGUCGAUUCGAAAAUUCCAUCAUCGAAACGGCUCAGGAGCACGGAGGCCUCGUGCUCCUGAGAGCACAGCAGCCUGCUCUCUCUCUCUCUCUCUCUCUCUCUCUCUCUCUAUAUAUAUAUAUAUAUAUAUAAUAUAUAUAUAUAUAUAUAUAUAUAGAGCAGGACUGUUGUGCUCAGUGGAGCACAGAGGCCUCCGUGCUCCUGAGCCGUCUUCGAUGAUGGAAUUUUCGAAUCGACGAUCGGCUCCGUUAGACUCGAUCUAGCAUAUUUGAAGUUUCUAGAAAAUAAUUUUUGCGAUUUUUUGAUAUCAUUUACCUAGUGAUCGAAAGGAUUCAAAAUUAAUAAUUUUUAAUAGUUGAUAUUUGCCGUUUUCAAGUUUAACGGUGUAGAAGUAUUCAAAUCAGAUGAAAUUUUGAUACAAAAUCUUUAUACUAUCUACAACAAGAUCAAUAUUUCUGAUCGAAAAUUUUAGUGCUAUAUCACCACUUUUUAUAGGAUUUUUAUUUUCAGUCGUUAAAAAUUAUUGAUUUUGAAUCUUUUCGAUUGCUACGUAAAUGCUAUCGAAAAAUCACAAAAAUUAUUUUCUAGAAACUUCAAAUACACUAGAUCGAGUCUAACGAAACCGAUCGUCGAUUCGAAAAUUCCAUUAUCGAAAACGGCUCAGGAGCACGGAGACCUCCGUACUCCUGAGAGCACAGCAGUCCUGCUAUAUAUAUAUAUAUGAGUGUAAUUAGUUCGCAGGUAAUAUAAGGUAAGAUAAAAUUUUAGAGGAGAGCUCCCUUACAUGACUUAUUGGGGAGCUCUCGAUUUGAUGUCAUGAGUUAAUUUUUUUUAUUAAAAAAUGCAUUAGGUGUUUUUAAUAAAAAAUUUUUAAAAAAAUAUUAAAUUUUUGAAAAUAGAGACAAAACUAUUAUACGACGACGGGACGUUAAUCGGGAAGCUCUCUCUAUUGAAAUAUUCUCCUGUGUGGUAUAUAUAUUUCCGUCCCAACUUUCAAAGAUUGAUUCCGACCUAACUUAGGAAGUAAACACCGACCGUUCCUAGAGCAAGUGGCAAAAGGUUUAGUGGUUGAAAUCCAAAACCCAAGUUCGAAUCCUAAUUGAUUCAUAUUUUCAGCUAAAUUUAUUUCUAAAUGAAAUAAAUGAAACCGGUAGCGUGCUACCUAUCUCUCAAAAAAUAAGAAAAAAAUAAAAUAAAAUAAAACUCUUACC